UACGGAGGGAGCUAGCGUUGUUCGGAAAUACUGGGCGUAAAGCGCACGUAGGCGGCGCAGCAAGUCAGGGGUGAAAUCCCGGGGCUCAACCCCGGAACUGCCCUUGAAACUGCAGUGCUAGAAUUCUGGAGAGGCGAGUGGAAUUCCGAGUGUAGAGGUGAAAUUCGUAGAUAUUCGGAAGAACACCAGUGGCGAAGGCGACUCGCUGGACAGACAUUGACGCUGAGACGCGAAAGCGUGGGGAGCAAACAGG
rnacentral:rRNA from 1 species